CAACCCUUGACAUCCUCGGACCGCCGGAGAGAUCCGUGUUUUCCUUCGGGACCGAGUGACAGGUGCUGCAUGGCUGUCGUCAGCUCGUGUCGUGAGAUGUUCGGUUAAGUCCGGCAACGAGCGCAACCCACACUCUCAGUUGCCAGCAGUUCGGCUGGGCACUCUGGGGGAACUGCCCGUGAUAAGCGGGAGGAAGGUGUGGAUGACGUCAAGUCCUCAUGGCCCUUACGGGUUGGGCUACACACGUGCUACAGUGGUGGUGACAGUGGGUUAAUCCCCAAAAGCCAUCUCAGUUCGGAUUGUCCUCUGCAACUCGAGGGCAUGAAGUUGGAAUCGCUAGUAAUCGUGGAUCAGCAUGCCACGGUGAAUACGUUCCC
rnacentral:rRNA from 1 species